GAGUUUGAUCUUGGCUCAGAACGAACGCUGGCGGCAGGCUUAACACAUGCAAGUCGAACGCCCCUUUCGGGGGGAGUGGCAGACGGGUGAGUAACGCGUGGGAACGUGCCCUUCAGUUCGGAAUAACCCAGGGAAACUUGGGCUAAUACCGGAUACGUGCGAGAGCAGAAAGAUUUAUCGCUGAAGGAUCGGCCCGCGUCUGAUUAGCUAGUUGGUGAGGUAAUGGCUCACCAAGGCGACGAUCAGUAGCUGGUCUGAGAGGAUGAUCAGCCACAUUGGGACUGAGACACGGCCCAAACUCCUACGGGAGGCAGCAGUGGGGAAUAUUGGACAAUGGGCGCAAGCCUGAUCCAGCCAUGCCGCGUGAGUGAUGACGGCCUUAGGGUUGUAAAGCUCUUUCGUCCGGGACGAUAAUGACGGUACCGGAAGAAGAAGCCCCGGCUAACUUCGUGACAGCCGCCGCGGUAAC
rnacentral:rRNA from 1 species